UACGAGGGGGGCGAGCGUUGUUCGGAAUUAUUGGGCGUAAAGGGUGCGUAGGCGGUUUGGUAAGUCUUAUGUGAAAUCUACAGGCUCAACUUGUAGUCUGCAUGAGAAACUGCCGGGCUUGAGUAUGGGAGAGGUGAGUGGAAUUCCUGGUGUAGCGGUGAAAUGCGUUGAUAUCAGGAGGAACACCCAUGGCGAAGGCAGCUAACUGGGCAUUAUCUGACGCUGAGGCGCGAAAGCUAGGGGAGCAAACGGG
rnacentral:rRNA from 1 species